rnacentral:rRNA from 1 species
AGAGUGAACGCUGGCGGCAGGCCUAACACAUGCAAGUCGAACGGCAGCACAGCCCCGCAAGGGGUGGGUGGCGAGUGGCGGACGGGUGAGGAAUACAUCGGAAUCUACCUUGUCGUGGGGGAUAACGUAGGGAAACUUACGCUAAUACCGCAUACGACCUACGGGUGAAAGCGGCGGACCGCAAGGCGUCGCGCGAUUGGAUGAGCCGAUGUCCGAUUAGCUAGUUGGCGGGGUAAUGGCCCACCAAGGCGACGAUCGGUAGCUGGUCUGAGAGGAUGAUCAGCCACACUGGAACUGAGACACGGUCCAGACUCCUACGGGAGGCAGCAGUGGGAAUAUUGGACAAUGGGCGCAAGCCUGAUCCAGCCAUGCCGCGUGUGUGAAGAAGGCCGUUGGUUGUAAGCACUUUUGUACCGGAAAGAAAAGCACUGGGUUAAUACCCGUGGUGUCAUGACGGUACGAAGAAUAAGCACCGCUAACUCGUGCCAGCAGCCG